rnacentral:lncRNA from 1 species
GGGAGAAGAUUUGGCUACAACCAGGAUUGGGGACAUCAGCAACUUGGAGGGGAGGACCCUUCAUAUAUGCUUGUGAGCUUCCUAUCACCACCUGACCCAAGAAAGGCCCUCUAGGAAGACAAUAAAUAAAUAAUAGCAUUAUUAGUUGUUCCUUCCUUCUUUCUUUCUUAUGCUGGCUUCGUGAUCUACUCAAGCAAUGGUGGGCCACAGAAACUGAUAAGAGAGUCCAAAAAUGUAAGCAAAAAAGGUUUGUUUGGGGGGUGGGGAGGGAGGAGUUUGGUUCAGCCAUUCAGUGCAGAAGUCCUAAAAGUGAUUGGGAAGUACUUGGGUCGGUAAAAAAAUAUUGAUUUUAGGCUUUUUUCUCCUUUUACAAAAAGCACACGGGGCCAAUGUCAACACCAAAUUCCUGAUCGGCGCCACCAAUGUCCAUAGGCGCAAUGUCAAUGAUGGGCAGGCGCGAAGUCUUCUGAGAUCGAUACUCGAUGAUUGUCUUCCCCCACUUGCCAGUGUGUUUCUGGAAUGGUGAAAAUAGACACAUACAAAGGAUGCAUUACUUAAGAGCUUUAUACUCCAGUUUCAAUGAGAGCACACGUGUUCGAAUUUCACCUCCUCCUGAUGGGCUUGCUGGCUGCGAGGCUUUCCCAGUUCCUAGGAUGACUAAAACCGUCAUUCUGUUUUAGCUAUAAAGCUUGCAUCACUUAAAAAAAAAAAAAUUCUUACUCAGAAUUACCCAGAAUGAUCCAGCUGCAGAAAAAAAUAUAACUGGCUACUUGGCUGAAAUGGGAAUCUCUGCUACUCUCUAAGCCUGGUACUAUCACUGUGAUCUCUUUGCCCUUGAAUCAAACAAUUGUGUAGUAUUUGUAUUUACUUUCUUGGUAGCAAUUAGCCCCAUGUUAAGUAAAUAAAAUAAC